rnacentral:rRNA from 1 species
UACGAGAGGCCCAAACGUUAUUCGGAAUUACUGGGCUUAAAGAGUUCGUAAGCGGCAUUGCAAGUAGGGUGUGAAAGCCCUCGGCUCAACCGAGGAAUUGCGCUCUAAACUGCAGUGUUCGAGGAAGCUAGAGGUGAGCAGAACAGAUGGUGGAGCGGUGAAAUGCGUUGAUAUCAUCUGGAAUACCGGAGGCGAAGGCGGCUCACUGGGGCUUUUCUGACGCUGAGGAACGAAAGCCAGGGUAGCGAACGGG